GCUUGAUUUGUGGCCAUCCACCAGCACAGCACGGGACUUUAGUGAAAACAAUCUCGUUAAGGAGGCCAAUACGGCACUUAGAAGAGUGCAAUAUUCAUUGCUUGGGUCAACUUUGGCACAAAAAUACCCGGACAUGCUUUGGGACCAACCGAAACCUGGGACCAAGCUCUCAACGAGACAGACACGUCUCUGGAGUGUAUUCAUGUGCCGGUUAACAGCGAGGCGAAAGAUGAGGUACGCACGAGAAAAAAAAGACAAGGCGCAGGCAAACAAUGGAGCGGAUCAG